GGAGGGUGCGAGCGUUGUUCGGAAUUACUGGGCGUAAAGCGCGUGUAGGCGGCCUUGCAAGUCAGGCGUGAAAGCCCUCGGCUUAACCGGGGAAGUGCGUCUGAAACUGCUUAGCUUGAGUACGGGAGAGGGAGGCGGAAUUCCCAGUGUAGAGGUGAAAUUCGUAGAUAUUGGGAGGAACACCGGUGGCGAAAGCGGCCUCCUGGACCGAUACUGACGCUGAGACGCGAAAGCGUGGGGAGCAAACAGGAUUAGAUACCCUGGUAGUCCACGCGGUAAACGAUGGGCACUAGGUGUGGGGGGUAUCCACUCCUCCCGUGCCGAAGCUAACGCAUUAAGUGCCCCGCCUGGGGAGUACGGCCGCAAGGUUA
rnacentral:rRNA from 1 species